rnacentral:tRNA from 1 species
UGGAAUGUAGCUCAGUAGUAGAGCACUUGCCUAGCAGGCACAAAGCCCUGGAUUUGAUUCCCAGCAUCACAA